CUUUCUUUCAGGUGCUGAUGCAUUAUAUCCUUGGCAGAGCAACCCAUCCCGGGCUCGUGGGUUCCCCUGAGCAGGAAGUCAAGGCAGAUGCAGCAGUCGAGGCUGAGUGGGCAAGGCAAUUGACUCGGCGUAUGUCCAGCCCCCGUCACACACCGGCCAAUGCACUGGGUUUCCUGCACAUGUGGGCCUUGAGGAAAUAUUACAGGACUCUGCGAUGAAGCCUUUAAAUUUUCUAUUUCACCAUCCUAUCUGGGUAGCCAUCAGGACCGGCCAAGGAGUUGUGGUGAGUCGGGGAGGUAGGGAGCAGGAGCGAGGGUCCGUUCAGGUUUCAGCAAUGCCAAAUCAAGUUGUCUCUGCUUAAU